rnacentral:lncRNA from 1 species
AAACCUCUUCAUCCUUCUAGAAAGACAGACAUGGAGACAGAAGAGCCGCCGCCGCUUCCUCCACAGGUCCGUGCUCGCCGUCCGCACCCAUGCCGCCGUCGGCCGUCUAGCCGCCACGCCGUAGUUGCCACAGCUCCCUCUCCUUCCUGCCCUUCCUUCACCUCGGUGUGGCUACGAGGUAAGGAGCACGAACCCUAGGCCCGGUUCCUGGGCUUGGUCGGCCUCCUGGGCGGAUGUUGUUGAGUUCCGCCGCCGAUUCCAGGACCAGCAGUGCUUCCUCCCAACCCCCCACCUCAUGCGUGCCCCAAUCUUCGCCGCCACUUGAUGACAUGGAGGUGAACACCACUGCAAUCAUGGUGUGCCUUCUUUGACCAAGGUUCUCUCAUGUCAUCUUUUUUUUUCUGCCAUUGUUGAUCCGUCCAUGAUUUUGUUGAGUGACUUUGUUAGGAUCCAUGAACAGUUAGCAUGGUGGCAUUGUUAGCAACAGAGGGGGGAAGAUUGAGGAUGAAUUACAGGGUUGGGCUGCUUACCAGGUGGGGGAUGUUCUACCAAGAGUGCUAGCCGCAGUUGUUGUGGAUAUAGAUGAGCCAUAUAGGUAAUGUUUUCUCUCAUGGUACCUUGACCUUUUCCAUUGUAUACACACAACAGAUGAACAAUUUAGCAUUGUACAUGAACAUCAACUAGCUCACAAGGCGGCAUACAAAGUACUUAUCAUUACUAAGAUUCUAUUGUUUAUGGUGUAUUAUAGUGAACAUCAAUUAGUUCACAAGAUGGCAUUGUUGGAUGAAGUGGUCUCAGUUGAAACUGAAGUGGACACUUCUAACGAACAUGGCGAAUUUUAAAUAUCCAAAGCCAGAAGUAGUUUUUCUGGAUACUUUUGAGCAACACAAAAAUGCUCUACAUAUAGUUUGCCGUGUGUUUGAACUGAAACAAAAAGAACCUGCAUAGAAAAUGACCCAUCCUUUUAAGAAAUCUAGCCACUAACAUGAAAAGAAAAUACUUUGGGAACUAGGACAGAAAAGAAAACGUAUGUUGUACAUGCAUGUUCUAUGUGCAAGUCCUGGUUGCUCUGAUAGUUAAAAAUGCAAUAAAUACGCAGAUUAUUCGUGCCACUUUCGGUUCAGAUAAUUUUAUUUGAUCAUAUUCAACUUCUAAAAAACUUUGUUAAGAUGAUUAUGUAUAUAUAGUUUGAUUCGAUUCUGUUUAUCCAUGUCAAUAGUAGGGCAUGUCUCGAAUCAUCAUCUUCUGAUACUAAAAGAGGUCAGAUUAAGUUUUUUGUUAGCAACUAGAAGGCGAAUUAAGUUGUCAAGCAACAAUCAGCGGUCAAGCGUCAAGUCCUUCUUCCGGAGAAGAAGGCCCACUCCGACAUGGCAGCCACCAAGCCCACCGACGGCUUCUCCAAAAAGGCAGCGCACCACAACCAGAAGCAAGCUCAUCUCUUCCCCCAACACAAGGUAUGGCUAAUCCAAAUUCGAAGGUUCAUACGCUGACACCAUCUGAUCCUUCUGGAUUAACAAAUCAAUUGAAACGGUUUUUUGCUUUUAGUUUUGCAGCAGACGAGUCGAUGUAAAUUCUCACAUGAUAGCCCAAUGUUCGGUUUAUCUUUGGAUUAUGGGAUGCAACAUGAGGCUGCUCGCACAUGGUGUUGCGGAGCGGCCAACCGUCAGCCUUCCGAGUUUUUGCAAAUUAUGUUUGUUUGUCUCGCUCCAGAUUAGCCAAUUAUUUCUUAACCAUCAGAUCCACUAUAUAUGAAAAAAAUAGAAAAGCAUGUUUCCUCGAUGGCAAUAAUUAGGCUAAAUUCACAACUUCCUAUUCUUAAAUCUUGAUGUUGGCACUAUGCAAAAGAAAUGCGGACAAUCAGGGUGUAUUUGUGCGCUUAGCAUCCUGCAGAUAACUAUGAACUGUGUUUGCUAAAGUAUUUGCAGAUAACUAUGAACUAUGUUUGCUAAAGGAUUUGCUGAUUUUUUUUCACCACAUAAAUCUCGACAAGACUGCGUUUUCAUGUACCAAAACUAAUCAUGUUUCUUGCUUUGUAUGCACAUCCAUAUUAAUCAUGUCUAUAAUGAAAGUUACUUGUUAUGCUCUUCUGUGUGUAAGCUCUGUCAGACAUUUGUUUUGUUUCUCAAUGAUAUUAUCUACUCCUUCUGUCUGGCUUAUGUGUUAAAUGUGAAACAAAUCCAUCCAAAUUCACUAAUAUCAGAGUGUUUUCAGUCUAAUUUCAUUUCUCAUGGUCAUCUGCCUUCAGAAGUGUAAAACUGAUGGCGUAAUCUUCUUUGCAGGUUAAAAUAAGUACCUAUCCUUGCAGCUCUGAAGAACCUUCACCGGAGCUCUCAAGAACAGAGAACACGAAAAAGAGAAUAUGCCGCCUCUUGCACAUUGAAAGUGAUGGACAACAAUGAUUUAUCCACUAAUUGUAAGUUCAACAUUUAUUGCGAGUUAACUUAUUUUCAAUUGGUGCAUAUGGCUACUCAAUUGGAAUUAUGCACUAGAAGAAAACAGUGUGUUCAUCUUUUCGAUGCAGAGUUUUCCCCCUUUUUUAUUCUUCUUCACAAUUUCUCUUCAAUUUCAAACUAUGCAACCAUCCCACUCAAAGAACAACAAUGCAGACCUUCUAUGGAGUCACCCGAUUAAGAAACCAACUGGCCACUCUGUAGAGCCAAUGUACAACUCUAUACAAGAAUGUUUGCUUUUUGGCAUUAUCCAUUGCCUCAAUUCCAAAUUAAGAUGUACAUUGAUAAAAAUUUGAAUAUUUCACCUCACUGUCAGCCAUCGAGAUCUCUCAUUUGCUUCUGUAUGUCGGUGUCUUUUUCAGAUAUCUUUUAGUCAAUUGACUAUUCUUGAUUCAUAGGUCAAAAAACGUGUGUUCAUUGAACCAAUACAUUGCUUAGUUGUAGCCUAUCUUUUCAGAUUAGCGAUUUAAGUAUUCACAUUACAUUUAAAGAUUUUUCAUUGUGUCAAUGAAUAUUUGUUUAAAUAUUACUUUAAUAUUAUUUGGGGCACUUUUUUCCCUUUCCCAUCAGCCUAUCCAAUCUAAUUCCAGACAGAGUGAGUAGACCUUACUUUAGUGUAGGUAGUACAUAUUGUUUAUGUUUGUUUUCUAUGAAUGAUGAAGUGAUAAUAAUUUUAAUGGCCUUCUCUGACCAUGUACAAGGAGGAGAGGAUGAAGGUAUAUAUCUUGGUGAUUGUGAUGGUCGCCUUGGUACGAAAAUGCCUCAAUGGGAUGGACCUGCUGGACGUCUUCUUCCAGCAAAGGAUUAAACCCCUGCAUGCAAGGGCUCAUGUGGAUGUAUGCGGGUCCGAAUGACUCCACGCGAACUCACCUGGAGGAGCUCGACACAAAGGUGUUGUAGGAGAAGCUUAUGGGUGUCACUAUGGCGUGAGACAACCAUAGUGCGGCAGGCUGGUGGUUCCCCUCUUCAUAGAAAACCCGCCGGUUGAGGUAAUCUUCAGUUCGUUUUAUAUGAACGAUCUUGUUCUUGUUGUUUAAUAGUUCUUUGACUUGGGUGAUUUCUUAUCAAUUAGUAGAGCUUCACGAAGAUUAUUAGUGUGGUGUCGGUUAUUAACCGUGCACCCGCUGAUGUGGCAAGCUACACCGAGCAUCAGGAUGGGACGAACACGACGAAGAGGACGAUGAUGAGACUGACUGGGACGACGGCGAUCUAGAGGAGGGAGAUGAGGCGGAAUCCUCUUUGUUGGAGAACAUUUUGACUGAGACCCUUGUUGGGGAAUGUUGCAUGGGAAACAAAAAAUUUCCUACGCACACGCAAUACCUAUCCAUGGUGAUGAUCAUCUACGAGAGGGGAGAGUGCAUCCACAUACCCUUGUAGAUUGCUAAGCAGAAGCGUAUAUAACGCGGUUGAUGUAGUGGAACAUCUUCACGAUCCAAAUUGCAGCCCGUCCCGCAAUCUGAUCACGAUCCGUCACGUGAUCCCAUCAUGAUCCAUCCCGAUCUAGUGCCGAACGGACGACACCUCCGCGUUCAGCACACGUACAACUCGAUGAUGAUCACCGCCUUGAUCCAACAAGAGGGGCGGAUAGGUAGAUGAGUUCUCCAGCACGGCGAUGCGAUGGUGGUGGUGGUGAACUAAUCCAGCAGGGUUUCUCCUAAGCAUCGGCGAACUAGACUAGAGGAGAAAAUGAUCUAGAUGAAGUAGAGGGAGCACGUGGCAAUUAGGGUUAGCCCUCACCUCUAAAACCUCUAGUAUAUAUAGGAGGAGGGGAGGGAGGCCGGGGCCCUAGGUCUUGCCACUUUGGGUCGGCCGAAGUGGGUAGAGGAGGAAUCAUCCUCCAAUCCUAGUAGGAUUAGGAAUCUGUUAGAAGUAAACGAGACACAAGCAAUGAACAGUAAUCAAUCUGAUCCCUCUUUCAUUAUAUGGUCAAGGUAUUUAUACAGAUGGAACAGACAUGACCAAUCACAAGAGGUGUCCGUUCGGGGUGGAGAUGACCGGCGCAACUGUGGCCAAGCAGGCAACUGCUUGUGGUUAGACAAGGGGAGAUUCCCCCUUAAAUAACGUAUGUUAAUUAACUCUAAUACUCCCCCUAAUCUGUACUUGUCUAUAUAGUAUCGUCAUCUUGAAAAGCUCCUCCAAAAACCCUGUGGAAAAAAUGUGAGGAGAUAUGUGUUUGAUAUGUUGGUAAAACUCCU